rnacentral:rRNA from 1 species
ACGUGGCGGGGUGCUAAUACUGCAAGUCGAGCGGACAGAUGGGAGCUUGCUCCCUGAUGUUAGCGGCGGACGGGUGAGUAACACGUGGGUAACCUGCCUGUAAGACUGGGAUAACUCCGGGAAACCGGGGCUAAUACCGGAUGGUUGUUUGAACCGCAUGGUUCAAACAUAAAAGGUGGCUUCGGCUACCACUUACAGAUGGACCCGCGGCGCAUUAGCUAGUUGGUGAGGUAACGGCUCACCAAGGCAACGAUGCGUAGCCGACCUGAGAGGGUGAUCGGCCACACUGGGACUGAGACACGGCCCAGACUCCUACGGGAGGCAGCAGUAGGGAAUCUUCCGCAAUGGACGAAAGUCUGACGGAGCAACGCCGCGUGAGUGAUGAAGGUUUUCGGAUCGUAAAGCUCUGUUGUUAGGGAAGAACAAGUACCGUUCGAAUAGGGCGGUACCUUGACGGUACCUAACCAGAAAGCCACGGCUAACUACGUGCCAGCAGCCGCGGUAAUACGUAGGUGGCAAGCGUUGUCCGGAAUUAUUGGGCGUAAAGGGCUCGCAGGCGGUUUCUUAAGUCUGAUGUGAAAGCCCCCGGCUCAACCGGGGAGGGUCAUUGGAAACUGGGGAACUUGAGUGCAGAAGAGGAGAGUGGAAUUCCACGUGUAGCGGUGAAAUGCGUAGAGAUGUGGAGGAACACCAGUGGCGAAGGCGACUCUCUGGUCUGUAACUGACGCUGAGGAGCGAAAGCGUGGGGAGCGAACAGGAUUAGAUACCCUGGUAGUCCACGCCGUAAACGAUGAGUGCUAAGUGUUAGGGGGUUUCCGCCCCUUAGUGCUGCAGCUAACGCAUUAAGCACUCCGCCUGGGGAGUACGGUCGCAAGACUGAAACUCAGAGAAAUUUGAACGGGACG